CGUUUAUGCAGCGUCUGGGAGUAAAAAGCCGAGUCCCUUCUCUGGCACAGGGCAAAGAUGCAGAAUUCAGUACUCUGGCGCCACCUUCCCCUGUAACCUUUUCCCGCCUCUUCUCUUCUUUUCCCGCCUUUCUUCCCCGCCUUUUUAUAAUUUCUCCCCGCCCUCCACUUCCCUCCAAAGCCAGCAGGGCUGGGGGUAGGGGGUAGGGGGGGGGAUGGCAACAGGGGGAGGGGUGCGAGCUUUGGCUCGUGCUGCGCAAGAGUGAACUCACGUCUCAGUCCCACCCGGCAUCCUCAUCUUCUUCCCCUCCUCCCUAUAAUCCCUCCCGCUCUCCACUUCAACAAUCGCUUUAGUGCGCAGCCGCUCUGCCUCGCCCUCUAUCGCAGUUCCUCUUCGGAUCCUGUCUGGAGCCCGCGUCUCUCCCUUUCCCCAUUGGCUGCUCUCAGGUGACCCACAACCGCCCAAACCGCCGCUUCGGGAGCUUGCUGGACCCUUACAUCUGUUCACCAUUUGGGCUGGCGGCUGCGGGCGUUGCCAAGAUCCCCAUAAAAAUUGAAAACGGAACAUGGCAACCAAACGAAAAGCUAAAACGAUCCUCGUCCUCCUCCUGCUCUCAUUGGCCCGAAGUGAUAAUAUUCUUUCUCAGCUGAGAAAGAGCAACAGUAGCUGUACCUAUGAUGAGGAAAUGUUACAGAGAUUGGCCUUGCAGCUGAGAUGCAUUGGAGAUGGACUCAAUAAUAGAGUGAUUCAAGAGGGUCUUCAAUUAGAAGAAGUUAGAGAUGCAGUGGCUCAUUUUGUCUUAUUUUUGCUUAGAAAAGCUCAUUUGGUUUUGAACUAUUUUUUGGCCAACCAUCCAAUGUAGAACAAAAUUUAAAUUUCAAGUUGUUCGUUUUCUUUCCACUUUCUGAGAUAUAUACAUUACCCUUGUUGAACCCCAAAAAUCUGGGGGAAAAGACCAUGCCUUAUUGACUUUCCUAGCUGCCUGGUUGGUUUGUACCGAUAGGUACAAAGAAGAGGGGCAGUAUGGUUGAAUGGUAUGAAUGCUGGAAAUGGAGUGAAAUCUCAGCUCAAAUUCUGUCUAUGAGACUGACCAUGAAACCCUGGGCAAGUCACUUAACUUCAUUGAAACUGUUUCUUUAUCAAUAAAAUUAGACUAAUUAUAAUGUUUGUACUACUU
rnacentral:lncRNA from 1 species